UGCCAUGAAGUGAGGGUAGAUUAGCAAUUCAGUAUUUCAGUAAUCUUUUUCAGGAACAAAGUGAGCCUGGGAAAGUCACUGAUAAGAAAGCAGUAAUUAGUCAAGAGGAGAAAGGGUGUAAAGCAUUUUGUGGCUCUGGCUGACCUUAGAAGAAUAUUGUUUUGUGUUGGCUUCGUCUGUGAUUGUCUGUCCAUUUUCACAGCCUGGUUGUGCCAGGGUGAGCUUUACUUUCUCAGUCCUGGGUUUUACUCUCUCGCUAUUCUACAACUGCUGAAUCUGAGCCACAGAGUGGCUUCACACUACUGGGGAGCUGAUCAGCAAUGGACAUUUGGACAAAGGCGGACAGAGAGAUAAAAUCUCCACCACAGUGAGGACUGCAGGAUCGCUCUGGAUUCCUUUCCCUGUGAUGAUGGUGACAUGAGGACUGGUUUAUAUCAGGGACAUUCCAGGUACUCUAAGGAGCAAAAGAGCCACUCCUCCAUGAAGCCUUGGGAUCCAGUACUUCCUUUACAAUAUUCCCACUUGAUGGGAUCCUCAGCUACCCCUCCCAUGCUUCAGCUCAGCUCUGAGAAGCGGGACACUGUUUGCCAUCUUGGUAUUGCCAAUUGUUAGCAUAAUAGCUGACAAAUACAGAUAACAGAUGUCCAAAUUGUGUUUGUUCAAUGAGUGAAUGAAGUUUCCAAAUUGAUUGCCAUUCCUUUCAUUUUAUUAAUGAUAUAGCAAAGCCUCACAAGUCAUUUAAAAAUGUUAUGGCUUAAUUAGUAGUUAAUUUGGCUUAAUCUGUGGGGGGAGAAGAAGUGUGGAAAGCAAGGCAUUAGAAAUGGAAGGACAAUGUUGAUUAAAAACUUUGAUGGCAAUACAAGCAAAUACUAACAUUGAUCUUCAUCAGCAAAAGAAUCCAUUUUAUUUUAUUUUUGCUAUCUCUAGGCACUAAAUCUUCUCCAUUGUGAUCCUAUUUCUAAGUAACCAUCAUCAGUUUCUAUAUCCUGGUUAUACUUUGUAACUCAAAACAGACUCAUUUUCUGGGCUCCACUUUCCAUCACAGCUGUCAGUAAAGAGAAUGAUAUGUAGGGUUUACAAAAAAAAAAAAACAAGUAAAGAAGGCAGGUAUACGUGCCCUUGUAAGUUGUUGCCCUGGACUACUGAGGAAGCUCCUACAAUAUUUUUUUGCCUCCCUACAAUCUCUCUCAACUUCACUAUAUAUGCUGCAGUCUGUGAACAGAAUUUGAUGUAUCACCCUUCUAUUUAAAGUUCUGUGACGGUUCCCACUGCCUUGGGGAUAAGGGUGACUCCAUGUGUGGUCCACAAGUCCUCACAACUAGACUCAACUUCCUUUCCAGACGUUCCCCAACUACUGUGUCCACUAAUCUCCUGAGCUCUGGCCAUACUGAACCACUGUUUUGUUUUUGUUUUUUUAUCUGGAACAAGCCAUAUUCAUAUGCAUUUGCACACAGUUACAUCUGUCUAAACUGCCUUCAUGCCUGCAUGAACAUUAUCCUCUACCUAGGAUGGCAAGGUAAAACUAUUGCUUAGAGUCAGGCCUACUUGGCAACUUAUUCCUGCCAUGUCUGUGCACCCCCAAACCCUAUUAUCAGAGCAGGCUGGGAGAAGUAAAGUUUGUAACUCUUCAUUCAUGCUUCUCUUUGCUUUUGCGAGACAUCCCAUCAGCCCCUAGUUCCCUGGCUCUCAUUUCUCUCUGCAUUGAGUCCAUCCGUCCUUACACCAAAACUACCUUUGAGACACUCAAUUCUGGUGUCUUUGAGGCACCUAACAUUUGCUCCUUGUCUUCUAGACCUGUGAACUUACAGAAUUAUAGAGAAGUCAGGAGAGGAAACUGACAUUUACUAGAUAGUCCUAGGUCCCAGGACUUUUCUGGAAGCUUGAUAUGCCUUUUAGUUUUCACAGGUAUUGUGAAAUCAGUAUUAUGCUCGAUUUGCAGAGCUGUGAGGGUGGUGGUCCAGACAGGGUACUACCUUGGGUCCUUAGCUCCUAAUUAUCUAGAGAGGCUUCUUGGAUUUUCCAGUCAUUAGGAAAGUUUGGAAAAAUGUUGAUGAGAUGCAUAGUCAUGGAAAAAACAUGGGCAGUUGGUGCAGGUCAGACAUGUGAGGAUAACAGGUAAUACAGGAAAUGUUAUGGGGUGGACUGUCCUUGAAUGAGAAACAGAGAGCGUGGAGGUGGCUGGCUAUUGGCAGUCCCGGCCCUGGUCAGGACCUGCUUGCUCUCCCUUCCUGGCACUAAUGCUGGACUCUGUGCUGCCUUUGCUUGCCAUACAUUCCCCAAAGUGAACAAAGGCCUUGCUGUCUUAGUGAUUUCCACAAGUUGGGGCCAUUGACACAGCUACAGCUGGCCAGCAGUGAGCACGUGCACUUCAGUGGUGACCACAUUGGCCUAGGACCCAUGACCUUUCAGAUAUUUGGGUGAUAAAGUUUAAGGAUAUUUAGGUAGAAAUGAAUUCCUUAGUGAACAUCAAUUCUCAGCAGAAGAUAUUUCAGAUGUUCUACCAUACUCAUCAAAAGAGCAAAGAAAAAUGUUUCUGAUGUGAAAAAGAUAGAGAAAGAAGCUGUUUCCA